rnacentral:pre_miRNA from 1 species
GGAAACUUAAAAACUACUGUUGGAUCGAGAAAUAGACGUCCGAGAUUCAUCCACGUCACCAUAAGUUAAAAUUUAACUCCUAGUAAAAUUUUAACUCAUGAGUGAAUCUGCGAGUUAAAUUUUAACUCAUGGUGACGUAGACGAAUCUCGGACGUCCAUUUCUCAAUCCAACGGUAGUUUCCAAGUUUCC